GGGCUCGUGGUGCAUAUAGUAGCAUGUCAGCGUUGGUACCUGACGAAGCGGGUGCAAGUCCCGCCGGGUCCACCA
rnacentral:tRNA from 5 species